rnacentral:rRNA from 1 species
UAUUGGUCAAUGGGCGGGAGCCUGAACCAGCCAAGUCGCGUGAGGGAAGACGGUCCUACGGAUUGUAAACCUCUUUUGCCGGGGAGCAACGGGGUCCUUGCGAGGGCCCAAUGAGAGUACUCGGAGAAAAAGCAUCGGCUAACUCCGUGCCAGCAGCCGCGGUAAUACGGAGGAUGCGAGCGUUAUCCGGAUUUAUUGGGUUUAAAGGGUGCGUAGGCGGGCUGUUAAGUCAGCGGUCAAAUGUCGGGGCUCAACCCCGGCCUGCCGUUGAAACUGGCGGCCUCGAGUGGGCGAGAAGUAUGCGGAAUGCGUGGUGUAGCGGUGAAAUGCAUAGAUAUCACACAGAACACCGAUUGCGAAGGCAUCUCACGAAUCCGCGAUUGACGCUGAUGCACGAAAGCGUGGGUAUCAAACAG